GUAGUUAGCUCAGGGCUAAUCUUCCUCAAAAAAAAAAAAAAAUAGGAAAAAAAAAAUUAUCUCAGGGGGCAGAAGGAAUGAGUAGAAAUAUAGAUAAAAUAAGAUUGUCCAUGGAUGGAUCACUGUGAAAGCUGAGUGGUAGGUCAUGGAUGUUCAUUAGAAUAUUCUCUCUACUUUUGGAUAUGCUUGAAAACGAAAAUAUCUAUAAUAAGAGGCCUUUCAAAAUUGCAUGAAGAUUUAGUAGCUUAAGAAAAUCAUUUGCUGGUAAUCAAAUGGAAGCAUUAUCUAUCCUACAGUGGAAAUCACAGUCCAGCUGCCACCCAGGCUGCAGAUGCCUGUCCCUUGAGGGGAAGCUCUGAGCCACAUCCCUUUCUAGACCAGUCCCCAUUUUACAGAAUUGGCUUUGGCCCAGAGGAAUCAGAGCUAUACUCUGGGUGAAAUGAAAUCCCAUCUCUCUGUUUGCCUUCCUUCCAUAAUGGGCCCAAUAUUUGUGGAAGAAGCCGAGUUGCCCACCCUUCACUGCCAUUUCUGAGCAAGAUUGUUCCCCUGGAAGUCCCUAGCCGGCUAAUCUUUUAUUUGGGGAUUUGUCGCAGUCAUUUCCUGACCAUCCCAUGGCCAUAGGCCAAAACACUAGGAUUAGGUGCCUAGUGAAAAGAAUGUUUCAAGCCCUAGCAAGCAAAAAUUCCUUACUGGAAUUUGCUUCAGGCCUCCUUCCACACUACCAGGCCCUACAAACUUUUACCAGCUUCUCUCCACUCCCUUUGGCCUUGGACAAAAGGGACAUGGGUGGAGUGGGACUCUGGAUCUCAUGGGAAAAGGUUCCAAAGAUUUUCCUUUUUGUUUGUUCUGUCCCAUUGGUCAACUUAGUAAAUUCUAAUUCUGAAUGAAUUAGAAAUUUUGGUUUUCUGCCAACAAACACAGCACCUACCAUGGUGGAAGGGUAUCUCUGUUGGGGGUCGCUCAGCAAUUUUUCCUCUUUCUGGUAACAAAAUCUGCUUUCCUUUGGAGAACCCAUUUGAUAUGGUUGGGUAUGGCUGACUCCACUUCCACUACAGAUGUGGACACACGUGGUAUCCCUGAUGCCAAGUGGUACCUAGAACACAGUAGGUGAGUCGUUAUUAAAUGAUUGGGUGGGUGACAUUUAUGGUUGUUAGUGAAAGAUAUCUUGACUGCAGUGAUUGACUCAUUAGGAUGUAUGUAUCUCAGCAUUUCUCAGCUUUUCUCAUCUUUUUCUCAGAUCUUUUUUAUCUCAGCACACUUUUAUACUUUAUCUACUGUUGGGGACCCCAAAGAACUAUCAUUUAUCGCAGCAAGUCAUCUUUUCUGCUGUACGGAGAAAGCCAGGCUGAGAAUGAAGUCAACAUUGAGGAAAGCAGAGCCAAGAGAUAGAGAAAAAAAACCCCAAACAAAAUGACUCGAACACCCAGAACGUGCCCAAAGUGAGACUUGGCCCAACAUUUUUCAGUUAUGUGAGCCAGCAAUUUCCCUUGUCAUCUAAAAGAUGGUUUAAAUUGGACUUUUGUUGGAGUUGUUGUUUAGUGCAGCAUAACAGGCUGCCUAGUCAUGAAGACUUGCUCUGCUCAUAUCCCAAGACUGAAUGAUCAUUAACAAGGGGUCCAUAUGGCUGUGGAACUUACUGUUCAGCAGUCUUUAGAACCUCUGAUAUGAGCUAACUGCCAUCAGAAAUUUGUGAGACAUAAUAUUUAUGAGACAUAAUGGUCCAGAAAAAAGACUUUCAGUAGUGGUUAGACUAUAUCCCAGAGACAUUUCAAGAAUGGAUAGGCUCAGGGACAUGAUGAUGCUAAGCUAUAUGAGAUUUCACAAGGCCUCACAUUAAGAGUUGCUUUUGGACUUAAGGUGCAAAGAUGGAAGCUUCUGAGCAGAACUGCCUCAAUUUCCUAGAACACGCUUGACAGUGGCUGGAAUCCAUGCAGCAGUCAUGAUCACAUCUAUGACCCAACAAAGGCUGCUUUGCUUUCAUAUUCUAACUGAAAGAACCAUGACAAUGUGCUCUUUUCCAGACAGUAACAGAAUGAGUCUUGCAGCCUCAAAAGUCUCCAAAGUGAGUUGUAUGGAAUAACAUAAAGAAUUAAUAAGAAGUUUUGAAUUUCCUCACUACUCAAAAGACCCACAUGAUUUCUUGCAGUCGGUGAAUCUAAUUAGAAGUGAGAAAAACAGAGAGGAGAAGCCAUGCGGGACUUCUGCAUUCAUCUUACACCAAAAGAAGUCCCCAUUUCCAGGAACAUUUUGGAGUAGAUCUUGA